rnacentral:rRNA from 1 species
UGGGGAAUAUUGGACAAUGGGCGAAAGCCUGAUCCAGCCAUGCCGCGUGUGUGAAGAAGGUCUUCGGAUUGUAAAGCACUUUAAGUUGGGAGGAAGGGCAGUAAGCGAAUACCUUGCUUUUUUGACGUUACCGCCAGAAUAAGCACCGGCUAACUCUGUGCCAGCAGCCGCGGUAAUACAGAGGGUGCAAGCGUUAAUCGGAAUUACUGGGCGUAAAGCGCGCGUAGGUUGUUCGUUAAGUUGAAUGUGAAAGCCCCGGGCUCAACCUGGGAACGGCAUCCAAAACUGGCGAGCUAGAGUAGGGCAGAGGGUGGUGGAAUUUCCUGUGUAGCGGUGAAAUGCGUAGAUAUAGGAAGGAACACCAGUGGCGAAGGCGACCACCUGGGAGCAUACUGACACUGAGGUGCGAAAGCGUGGGGAGCAAACAGG